GAGGAUAAGAACUAAAUGUGGUCCCAGACAAGAUCCUGGAACAGAAAAUGAACACUAAGGGAAAACUAAGGAAAUAUGAACAACUGUAGCAGCUGAUGUCACAAAGCCUGGCUGAGGACCAAAGAGAAACAGGUUCAUUUGGAAGUUCGUAUCUGAGCAGACUGGCUCAACCAGAAGUCCAGAAAAGUGUGGACCAGCUUCAACAGGACAGCACUAACACAGACUACUGCAGUCUCUGCACAGAGAGGCCUAAAGGAGAGGUCAUAGCAGUACUCUGCAGGUAACACUCCAUUUCCAACGAGCAGAGAAUCCCAAAGGAGGUGAUUUAGGGAUGAUCUCCAUCAGCCCUAGAGAGGGAUCGUCGUGGUCAGGAGACCCAGUUUUAGAGCCCGAAUCCUGGCCAUUCAUUGCCUAUGUGACCAGGUUACUGAGUCUCCUCUUCAUAAAGUAAUUAUGAGGAUUCAGUGAGUUGCUACAGGCAAAACGCUUAGAACAGCGCCUG
rnacentral:lncRNA from 1 species